rnacentral:rRNA from 1 species
UAUACAUGCAGUCGAGCGAACGGACGAGAAGCUUGCUUCUCUGAUGUUAGCGGCGGACGGGUGAGUAACACGUGGAUAACCUACCUAUAAGACUGGGAUAACUUCGGGAAACCGGAGCUAAUACCGGAUAAUAUUUUGAACCGCAUGGUUCAAAAGUGAAAGACGGUCUUGCUGUCACUUAUAGAUGGAUCCGCGCUGCAUUAGCUAGUUGGUAAGGUAACGGCUUACCAAGCCAACGAUGCAUAGCCGACCUGAGAGGGUGAUCGGCCACACUGGAACUGAGACACGGUCCAGACUCCUACGGGAGGCAGCAGUAGGGAAUCUUCCGCAAUGGGCGAAAGCCUGACGGAGCAACGCCGCGUGAGUGAUGAAGGUCUUCGGAUCGUAAAACUCUGUUAUUAGGGAAGAACAUAUGUGUAAGUAACUGUGCACAUCUUGACGGUACCUAAUCAGAAAGCCACGGCUAACUACGUGCCAGCAGCCGCGGUAAUACGUAGGUGGCAAGCGUUAUCCGGAAUUAUUGGGCGUAAAGCGCGCGUAGGCGGUUUUUUAAGUCUGAUGUGAAAGCCCACGGCUCAACCGUGGAGGGUCAUUGGAAACUGGAAAACUUGAGUGCAGAAGAGGAAAGUGGAAUUCCAUGUGUAGCGGUGAAAUGCGCAGAGAUAUGGAGGAACACCAGUGGCGAAAGGCGACUUUCUGGUCUGUAACUGACGCUGAUGUGCGAAAGCGUGGGGAUCAAACAGGAUUAGAUACCCUGGUAGUCCACGCCGUAAACGAUGAGUUCUAAGUGUUAGGGGGUUUCCGCCCCUUAGU